rnacentral:rRNA from 1 species
UACGUAGGGGGCAAGCGUUGUCCGGAUUUAUUGGGCGUAAAGAGCGUGUAGGCGGCCAGGUAGGUCUGCUGUGAAAACUCGAGGCUUAACCUCGAGCUGUCGGCGGAAACCAUCUGGCUAGAGUCCGGAAGAGGAGAAUGGAAUUUCCGGUGUAGCGGUGAAAUGCGUAGAUAUCGGAAGGAACACCAGUGGCGAAAGCGGCUUCCUGGUCCAGCACCGACGUUCAGGCACGAAAGCGUGGGGAGCAAACGGG